CAUUUAUCUGUUACAUGCUGCAUGUUGAUUCUGUACAUGUGAUACAGCGCUUUGCUCCUCUCUGUAUAUGUAACGCACUGCAUUCUAGUUCAGUAUUUGUGAGACACUGCAUUUUAAUUCAGUAUUUGUGAGACACUGCAUUUUAAUUCAGUAUUUGUGAGACACUGCAUUUUAAUUCAGUAUUUGUGAGGCACUACUUUUAAUUCACUAUUUGUAAGCACCGCUUAUAAGUCCUGUAUUUGUAACGCAUUAUUUUUUAAGAUUUAUUUUCUUAACACAAUUCGUUAUAAAUCCGUAUCAGAACACAUCACCUCCUCCCCCUUUUUCCCCCUCCCCCUUUCUCCCACCCAGAAAACCGAAAACUGAGUACCGGGGAAAUGAAACCCUGGAUAGAGGUGAUCUCGGAGAUGGCGGCCAUACUGAUGGACAGUGACAUAAGAGCGAAACUUGGAGAACAGGCAAACGUCCUAGCCAAUGGUGUGAAGAUCCUCUCAGAAACUCUCCGGAUGCAGACAGCUAGGAAGAGCCUGAACCGUGCUGCCUCCAGAGUGAUGAGCAAAAUCUCCUCCGUG